rnacentral:rRNA from 1 species
GGGGAAUAUUGGACAAUGGGCGAAAGCCUGAUCCAGCCAUGCCGCGUGAGUGAUGAAGGCCCUAGGGUUGUAAAGCUCUUUCAGUGGGGAAGAUAAUGACGGUACCCACAGAAGAAGCCCCGGCUAACUUCGUGCCAGCAGCCGCGGUAAUACGAAGGGGGCUAGCGUUGUUCGGAAUUACUGGGCGUAAAGCGCGCGUAGGCGGACUUUUAAGUCAGGGGUGAAAUCCCGGGGCUCAACCCCGGAACAGCCUUUGAUACUGGAGGUCUAGAGGCCGAGAGAGGUGAGUGGAAUUCCGAGUGUAGAGGUGAAAUUCGUAGAUAUUCGGAGGAACACCAGUGGCGAAGGCGGCUCACUGGCUCGGGACUGACGCUGAGGUGCGAAAGCGUGGGGAGCAAAC